AAUAGAUACCCAGGUAGUCCUGGCCGUAAACGAUGCACAUUAGGGAGAGGGUGUUCCUAGACAUUCUCUCCCCAAGGGAAACCGUUAAAUGUGCCGCCUGGGGAGUAUGCUCGCAAGGGUAAAACUCAAAGGAAUUGACGGGGGCUCACACAAGCGGUGGAGCAUGUGGUUCAAUUCGAAGCAACGCGAAGAACCUUACCAGGCCUAGACAUCAGGAUGUAACCCGGUGAAAGCCGGGCCAACUCGCAAGAGAAAUCCUGUGCAGGUGUUGCAUGGCUGUCGUCAGCUCGUGUCGUGAGAUGUCGGGUUAAGUCCCAUAACGAGCGAAACCCUUACUGCCAGUUGCCAGCGGAUAAUGCCGGGGUACUCUGGCGGGACUGCCUCGUAAGACGGAGGAAGGUGGGGACGACGUCAAGUCAUCAUGGCCCUUAUGGCCUGGGCUACACACGUGCUACAAUGGGGGCUACAAAGGGGAACCGAGGCCGCGAGGCGGAGGAAACCCUCAAAAAACGCGCCCCCCAGUUCGGAUUGGAGUCUGCAAACCCGGCUCCAUGGAACG
rnacentral:rRNA from 1 species